CCUACGGGGGGCAGCAGUCGAGAAUCAUUCACAAUGGGGGCAACCCUGAUGGUGCGACACCGCGUGGGGGAAUGAAGGUCUUCGGAUUGUAAACCCCUGUCAUGUGGGAGCAAAUUAAAAAGAUAGUACCACAAGAGGAAGCGACGGCUAACUCUGUGCCAGCAGCCGCGGUAAUACGGAGGUCUCAAGCGUUGUUCGGAAUCACUGGGCGAAAGGGGGGAGUAGGGGGUUGAGUAAGUCUGGUGUGAAAGGGGCGGGCUCAACCCGCGGACGGCCCAUGAUACUGCGAGACUAGAGUAAUGGAGGGGGAACCGGAAUUCUCGGUGUAGCAGUGAAAUGCGUAGAUAUAGGGAGGAACACUCGUGGCGAAGGCGGGUUGCUGGACAUUAACUGACGCUGAGGCACGAAGGCCAGGGGAGCGAAAGGGAUUAGAUACCCGUGUAGUC
rnacentral:rRNA from 1 species